CUCGGCUUUAUAUCUGCAGCAUCAGCGAGAAAGCCCGGCUCGGCGCAGGCUCAGUGUUCACAGCCGCAGUCCCGGACGGAGGAGGGGGGCUCGGGAGCUCAGCAUCUUCGCAGCGGGUUAAGUAGGAUUAAUACCAAAUCCCUAUUAUAUUUGCCAAGCAACUUGAAUUUAUCAAAAUUCCCCCUCGCUGUUCUGGAGCUCCGAGAGGAGGAAAUUCUGCCCACAUUCUAAGAUCCAGACAUACCAUGUCUUCACAUGCAAUCUCUCCCUGAAUGUGCAAUGUCUUUCCUGCUCGGGAGAGCUGCGUCCUUCACAGUGGAUUGGUUCCUUUUUCGGAGCAGAGAAAAGAUAAAGAAAUGGACAAUUAACUAUGUUCUUCCCAACAAUGUAGAAGUACUAAUGAAUAUGAAGUCAAGUUACAGUGAAUACUGAAGAAAGACUGUUACAGAAGCUGACUUGCUGCUGAAAGCAAGCAGAAAAAGUAGAUCUAUUAGGCUUCUUCUAGAAAUUGUGCUUUCCUACAAAUCAGAAUUUAACACAGAAAGUAUUUUUGUAAUUCUCUGCAAAGAUCAUGUAUUAAGAAUGUAUAUCUAUAAAAAUAAUAAAAAACCCCCACAUAAUUGCAGUACUAAUCUUACUGUAUUUCUGUCCAAAAUUGGUAAUGAAUACAGAUUUAGGCAUAUUCAGUCUGUGUGUUUGCAAAAACUAUCUACCAAACAACAAUGUUCUUAUUCAACUAGAAUCACUGUCCUUCAAAUAUCGAGUAUGAAUAUAUAUGUUUCUCUUUGUCUUUUUUGCAAUACAGUAACUGUGAGACACUAUGCAUAUCUAAAACAGUGGUUUGAUCCACUGUAUUUUUGGGCUAACUUCUGAAGUCUUCAGGACAUGUCAGAAUGGAUGUUAACAACCAUAAUUAGGUUUUCUGCUUCUGCCCUCUGCCACUUUAACAAAGUGCUCUUUUACUGCAAAGAUGCCUUCCUACAAUCACAUCUGUAUUAUUUCCUCGCACAACCUUUGGUGCCAGGAUGGGAUCAGUCGCAUGACCUUUGAGCAGAGCCCUAACCACAAAACAGAACCUUUUCUUCCUUUCCAUGCCAUCGGGAGUUUGCAUGCAUUUCUGGUGAGUCCUGAAGAGCUUCCAGGGGAAAGCCCAUGCAGACUGACUUUUUUCCAAGCUUCUAUUCCCUCUUGCUCACCAAAGGAUGGUCGGAGCAAGCUCGUUCUCCUGUGGACUUCAAUUCUAUUCCUAAUUCAUCAACAGAUGGCAGUAGAAAACUCCCUACCUACCUAUCUUCAGACCAAAGGCCUUACAUGACCCUAAUAAUAACAAAGGAAGAAAAACCAUCCAAACCAUUGCUGCCUAAGUCUUCUAUAUAUAAUGUGCUCUAAAUUUUUCAGUGCAGUGCAAAAGUCUCAUAAAGAUUAAUUUUAUGCUGAGUCUGAAUGACUAGAAGCAGCUGCUGCUUUUGAAAUUACUAACUUUUCUGAAAUGAUUCUGUCACUGAUGUACUUUAUUUUUCUAGUUGUGAAAGAGUAUAUUGAAUAUAGAUUAUAGUCAAUAAUUUGCUUUUCCCACAGAUAGAUUGCUGUGAUGAAAAAUCAGUUCUCUGAUCUCAGUAAAGACUUUUUCAAAUGUCAUCAUUACAGUGACAGAACAAGUAAUUUAGUAAGUAAGUUUUUGAGAUGUGCCUCACUAGAUUUUGGCAUUUCAUUAAUUCCUCCCCCUUCAAAUCAAGUAGAUAAUAUAAUAAACUUAGUGAAUUCUUUAUAUAGAUCAAAACAUUAAGAUGCAUGGAAUACACAGUAGUUUCUUAUUCCAUUUUUUGAAAGAUGCUGAUAUCUUGGCAUUGCCAACCAAGGAAAAAGCAUUACCAUAAAAAUUUCCGAGAGGCAUUUUCUUGUGUAAUGUAUAAUAGUGGGGGGUUUGAUAUCGGAAACCUCGUAUUAUAUAAUUCUCUUUUACCCUCGAGGCACAUGAAUUAGGCCUACAGUUCCUGAUUUCUAUUCCCACCUCUUUCACUAACUUAUCUUAAUAAUUCUUUGCACUUCACAAUUUGCCAGCAUGUUUCCUAUGGUGAAAGAAACUGAUUUCAAAGGAAAGGAAGAAAGGGAGAAGAAAUGGCUCUUUCAGGGGCUGCUGGAGGGAGUGGCUUACUGUUCUAAACAUAAUGGAAAUGUUUGAAUUCUCUGAGCCAAUGAUUUAAAUUGAGGUAGGUUUGACUCAAAUCUGCUUAAAGACAUGAACACUGAUUUGCCUUCAAUUUAGUGAGUGGAUUUUUUUAGAAUUGACUUUAAACACCGACGAUGUGUUAGCUGUGUGAGUAUGUUACCGAGCCCUGGUGUACUUGACAAAGGAAAGUGUAUGUCCUAGAAGCAGUGCAGAACAUUUUGCCUUCGCACACUGUUCUACAGAAAUCUUGGGGGAAAGCCAGCAUAGUGUCAAAGCCAUAAGGACUGAAGCCUCAUUUUUUAAGAGUUUUUGCUUUCUCACCCUUAUUUCUGGUUUGGGUUGUGGGUUUUUUUUUUCCUCCUCUAAGGAAGCAGACAAACCUGCCAUAGUAGAAUACUUUUUGGUGCCAUACGCAGAAAAAUUUUGUGAUUUGUACUCUUUCCCUCAUCUGUUUUUGCUAUCUAAGUAUUGUAAAAUUUCCCUAUAACUAGGGAAAAGAGAUAAAUAAUAUGGUAAAUAUUCAAAUCCUUUCAAACAAAUUUUGGCAGUUUUUUAGUUAUCUAACUAGUUUCAGGUUGUGCCAUUUUCAUAUGAACAAUUUUGGAAAAAAUGAAAAUAACAGCAGUUCUUUGGCUAUAGGCGUAAAUAGCAGUGCUGCCUUUGACACUAUCUUAUUCUUAUGAAAAAUACAACCAGUAUUAUAAAAAUGAGUUUUUAGUUCACGUAUAUCUACUUGAGUGAGAAGAUUGAUAACAAGAUUGCUAUGUGUUAGCUAAAUGUAAAUAUAAACCAGUAAUAAAAGAUAUAAUUUAAAAGAUAAGUGCUCAUAUACAUGGAAAUGGUUGCAGAAUCUUCAUUUAGUCCUAUAAUGCUGUCUUUAAUAUAUUAUCACAUACAUUUAUUUCCAAAGGACCCUGGAUAUUAAACAUACUCCCUGAAUUUUGAAGAAAUAUAUUCCAGGAAUGAACUGUGCGUUCAAACUGUUUAGCCUGUGUCCUCUGGCUCCCUAUGCUGUGAAUAGGUAAAGAAGUUAGAGAAUGAAAAGCUCAUCAUGUAUUCAUUAGGGUUUUCUCAUGGUUGUGCUAGUAUUUGGAAGAUAAUAACUUCCUUUGUAAGUAACUUUGAGAUAUAUUUUAAUAAAAUGUUAUACAAUAUUAAAUGUA